rnacentral:tRNA from 1 species
AUCUGGGUGGUACAAUAGAUAGAGUGUUGGACUUGGAGUCAAGAAACCUGAGUUCUAAUCUUAGCUCAGACA